UGUAAUUAUAAGUAUUCAAGAAAAAUAUUAAAUAAUUUUCUUCUGCAUAUAUCAGCCAUCUUUCAAAACACUAAUAGCAUUAAAUAUUUAGAAACCUGUCGGUGCAAUAUUUGCCAAGUUAUCUUAAGUUAUAACUUUAAAUUUAUACUUUGACUUACUCCAAGAGUUUACUUGUUCCCAUUGCACAUUCUUCCUUGAUGUUCUAACAUGGCGUCAAAGUCAGGCAUGACCAUCGAUGGAAGCAUUUUCUAGCUCUGAGUGUUAGAAUCAGCUCUGAGAAUUAAAGGGAGGCAGAGGUUCCUAGGAUUGCAUUUCCUUCUUGUGCCCCUGACCCAUCCUCCAGGCUGAUUCAUGCCUUUAGAUUGGCUCUAGAGUCUUAAAAACUCAACACAAGAUGUGGUUAACCCACUGUUGUGGACCGAAUGUUCAUGUCCCUCCAAAAUUCAUAUGUUGAAGGCCUAUGAAGAUAGGGCCCUUGGGAGGUAUUUGGGUCUAGAUGAAGUCAUGAGGGUGGGAUCAUCACGAUGGGAAGAGUGCCCUAAUAAGGAGAUAUUAGACAACUUUCUCUCUCUCUUUCUCUCUCCCUCAUGUGAGCGAGAAGGAAGCUAUCCACAACCCAGGAAGAGAGCUCUCACCAAGAACCGAAUCUGCUAGCACUUUGGACUUCCCAGCCUUCAGAACGAAAGAAGAUAGCACCUUCCAACUCUCUGAUUGACAAUUUAAAAGACUGUUGGAAAUCGUGUAGGAAAACAGGCUCCCUCUUAAACUAAUUAUUAGAAAAUCCAUGCAGUAUUUGGAAAGAACUUCCAGCAGGC
rnacentral:lncRNA from 1 species